AUGCUCCCAGACCUGAACUGCUCACCACCCUCAGGAGAAGAAGAAGCUGAUGUGAAUAUGGUCCAAGAAGAAGAAGUAGCAGAUGUCCAAGAAGAAACAUUAAAUGUCCAAGAAGAAGCAACAGGUGUUCAGCAAAUACGAAGGCAAAGAAAGUCACUAACAGAUGAGCAGAGAUAUGCUGCUUACAUGGCAAUGCUUACGCUGAAUAUGAGUAGGGGUGGCAAGUUCAAAAGAACUGACAAGAAGGAUGUUGCUCGAAUUUUUCAAGCUGAUAUUCAAGUUAUUCAGAGAAUCUGGAGGACAGCAGAGCGACAAAAAGAGCUUGGUAAGGAGGUGGAUGUGUCCAACCAAAAGAAAAGAAGAUGUGGAAGGAAAGGAAAGGAUAAUGUCCUAUCUCAAAUCCCCACAGUUCCAUUGAAUAGAAGGUCGACUCUCAGGUCACUUGCUCGCGCAUUGGGUGUCAGUCAUACUACACUCUACCAGAAACUCAAGCUUCACAAGAUUAGGAGGCACUCCAAUCGUUUGAAGCCAAGCUUGAAAGAAAAGAAUAAAAGAGAAAGAAUCAAGUUUUGUAUGUCGAUGCUUGAUGAGACAACUUUAGCAGCUACAAGACCUAAAUUCAUCAGUAUGCACAACAUUGUGCAUAUUGACGAAAAGUGGUUCUAUAUGACAAAAAUGAACAGAAACUACUACCUCCUCCCUCAUGAAGAUGACCCGGUCAGAACCAUUCGGAACAAGAACUGUAUUGGCAAAGUAAUAUUCCUGACCGCUGUUGCUCGACCCAGAUAUGAUGCUGAAGGCAAUGUAACAUUCUCAGGAAAAAUUGGUGUCUGGCCUUUCGUCCAAGAGAUUCCAGCUGCUAGAAGAAGUGAAAAUAGAGCAAGAGGGACCAUGGAAAUCAAGAACGUCACUGUGAACCGACACGUAAUGCGGCAGUAUAUGAUAGAGAAAGUGGUUCCGGGAAUAAAAGAAGUGUGGCCCACAGAUGAUAUUGGCCCAAUAUUGAUCCAACAGGACAACGCGAAGACACAUAUUCUUCCCGGUGAUGCAGAGUUUGCAGAAGCUGUGGCUACAACUGGUCUCGACAUUAGAAUAAUACAACAACCUCCAAAUUCUCCAGAUCUGAAUGCACUUUAUCUUGGAUAUUUCAGAUCCCUUGAGUCUUUGACCGACUGCAGAGCCCCUACGACUAUCAAAGAACUGAUUCAAGGUGUGCAUGAAGAGUUCGAUGAGUAUGAUGUCGACAAACUCAACCGAAUAUUUCUAACACUUCAGACCAUCAUGGUUGAAGUGAUGAACUAUCGAGGAGGAAACUCGUAUAAAAUUCCACAUUUGCGGAAGGAGAGAUUGGAAAGGCAAGGAAUGCUACCGCCUAUGAUACAUUUCCCUCGUGAAGUUUAUGAUAAUGCCAUGGAGAUUCUAGGACAAGAUGUCGACUGA
rnacentral:rRNA from 1 species